GAUGAACGCUGACAGCAUGCUUAACACAUGCAAGUCAACUGUGGCGGACGGGUGAGUAACGCGUAAAGAACUUGCCUCACAGCUAGGGACAACAUUUGGAAACGAAUGCUAAUACCUGAUACUGUGAGAGAGCUUUGCGUCCCAUUGGCUAGUUGGAGAGGUACCGGCUCACCAAGGCGAUGAUGGGUAGCCGGCCUGAGAGGGUGAUCGGCCACAAGGGGACUGAGACACGGCUCUUACUCCUACGGGAGGCAGCAGUGGGGAAUAUUGGACAAUGGACCAAAGUCUGAUACAGCAAUUCUGUUUGCACGAUGUAGUUUUCGGAAUGUAAAGUGUUUUCAGUUGGGAAGCGGUACCCACAGAAGAAGGGACGGCUAAAUCCGUGCCAGCAGCCGCGGUAAUAC
rnacentral:rRNA from 1 species